UCUCCCGUGAGGGAGCAGUCUCGCCUGACAUAUAAAACAGGCAACGGGGGUUGCGUUCGUUACCCCACUGAAGGGAACAACUCAAGCCACGAACUGACGACGACCAUGCAUCACCUGCCCAGUAGCCUUGCGGGGUCUUAAGUUUCCUUAAGAUUUCCACUGGGUGCGAACCCUGGUGAGGUUCUUCGUUUGUCAUCGAAUUGAGCCGCAUGAUCCACCGCUUGUGCAAGUCCCCGUCUAUUCCUUUGAGUUUUAAUCUUGCGAUCGUACUACCCAGGCGCAUCACUUAACGCGUUAGCUUCGCCUCAAAGAGGGUCGAUACUCCUUAAAGCCAGUGAUGAUCGUUUAGGGCGUGGACUAC
rnacentral:misc_RNA from 1 species